rnacentral:rRNA from 1 species
AGAACAACUCUUAAACUUUUUUAGCCUAUUCUUAGAAAUUAAUAUCUGCAUCAAAAAGUGCAGCUUAGUUGAAGGGACGAUAAGACCCUAUAAAGCUUUAUCAUUUUCUCUUUAAGUUUUGAAUAAAAAAAUUGUGGGGGGGUGAUUGAACUGGGGCGGUAUCUAAUACUCUUUAAAAAAGGUAACACGUAAAGUGAAAAGCUUUAUCCUAAAUGGAAUAAAAGUUACUUUAGGGAUAACAGCGCAAUUUCUUAAGGUGGUAACAUUUUAUGAAGACUUGCGACCUCGAUGUUGAAUUGAGGGGCCAGGCCCC